AUCUUCAACAUAAAAAUCGAAUUGGAUGUGUGAAAGCCCGCCGAAACAUGGCCAAUUUCAGUAACACGCCCUGUAAGAUCAACCUUUCUGUGCAUUAAGAUUGUGCGUAUGCAACAUCUAAAACAGUACAAUGCAGAACUUCCCAGCAUCGGCAAGAUUAUGCAAUGCCAAUCGCAACAACGCACUAAUUACAAUCCAUUCCCACAAAGCCUGACCAUACACCUUCACCCCUGCAGCAUACUUCCAACAGAACAACACAUAUCUUAGGAAG
rnacentral:lncRNA from 1 species